GGAAACAUUGAUAGGAGUAGGGCCUUUCUAGAGAGAGAGCGCAAACAAUGCUCGUGACAAUCAAUUAUUUACUCUGAGACUGAGCCCCUCCCACUUCCCAUGAAGCCACCCCUUUCUUGAACAUUACUGUGAACAUUAGGAUAGUUGAAGCAGGUUAAGCAUUUGUCAUAUGCUUGCUUAGCUCCAGUACGGUUUUAGUUUUAGCAAAUAUAAGAUACAACUGGUAUUAUAUCUUUAAAGGUUCCAUAAAACUAUAAUUUUGAAGUAUACACUGACCAUAUAGGAAAAACAAAAACCCUCUCUUUCAGUUAAAACUUUCAGGUUACCGGUUAUUAUGUUGGUUUUUCUAGGCUGAAAUCCUGACCGUGACUUUAAACGUCUUCUCAAUUGUGAUAACAGGUUAUAGCUCUAGAGACUGGGAGCAUGGCAACUCACCUAGCCAAACACAUAUACAUCAGAAAAACCUUUGUUUUUGUUUUCGUCCCCAGGCUCCCAUCUACCAAAAUGCAACUACAUCCUACUUCAAAGAUCACCCUUUGCAGAGAUUUGAAGAUUUUUGUCUUGGUGGCUGGAAAACCUUCCCAGGAAAUUUCCAGGGCUGCGGUACAGUGAUGAACCACUAAGGGCUUUCCCAAGGAGACUUCCAUGCUUGACUGGCAGUAGGCCUUCAUCUACCUGCUAUUCCAUGGACAUCAGCAGAAAACCAGGGCUCAAUGGUG
rnacentral:lncRNA from 1 species